AUAACCUAUAACAUAGCCUUAACCUAAACCUAUAACCUAAAACCUAAACCUAAACCUAAAACCUAAAUGUAUUCUCAAAUCCCUAAACCUAAACCUUCACCUAAUCCUAAUCUCAACUCCCUAACCUAAACCUAAACCUACACCUAAUCCUAAUCUCAACUCCCUAACCUAAACCUAAACCUAAACUUGAAAACCCAAACCUAAACCCGAUCCCGAACCCGAACCCGAUUUCCUAAACCUAAACCUAAACCUAUUCUCAAUUCCCUAAAGCUAUAACCUAUAACCUAAACCUAACCUAAACCUAUAACCUUAACCUAAACCUAAAACCUAAACCUAAACUUAAACCUAUAACCUUAACCUAAAACUAGGUUUUGAGUUUAAAAGUCCAUCCUAUGUUUGAACACAUUACUCAUGUUGGAUUUUGCCAUAGUUUAGAAGAUUUGUAGGCUGACAAGCUAAAGAAGUCAGUGGAGGAUGAAAUUCAUUUUCUCAAGGGAAGGGUUUCAGAACUUGAAAGUGAUCUUGUGUCGAAGUCCACAGAAGUUACAUCUGCAGUUUCAAGGAAAGAAGAAGCUCUAUCUUCUGCAUUUGCUGAAAUUGACCGUUUGAAGGAAGAAAAUUCUGUAAAAACGUGAGCAUUAUUGAAUGCAUAUGGAGGGUGUUUACUGUGUUGGAGUGUAUUUGUUUCUUGCACAUGAGGGCACGCCUUAGUUGUAAUUCUUAUGAUAGGUUGAGCAAAGUGAAGUAUUGUUUAUUUAGAAAUGUGAAUGUAGGAUGCAUUGUAUGAUUU